rfam:Triticum aestivum genome assembly, contig: Triticum_aestivum_CS42_TGACv1_scaffold_031689_1BL
AAGGAUGUAGCGCAGCUUGGUAGCGUGUUUGCUUUGGGUACAAAACGUCACGGGUUCAAAUCCUAUCAUCCCUG